rnacentral:rRNA from 1 species
CCUACGGGAGGCAGCAGUGGGGAAUAUUGCACAAUGGGCGAAAGCCUGAUGCAGCAACGCCGCGUGAGGGAUGACGGCCUUCGGGUUGUAAACCUCUUUUAGUAGGGAAGAAGGGCCUUCGGGUUUGACGGUACCUGCAGAAAAAGCACCGGCUAACUACGUGCCAGCAGCCGCGGUAAUACGUAGGGUGCAAGCGUUGUCCGGAAUUAUUGGGCGUAAAGAGCUCGUAGGCGGUUUGUCGCGUCUGCUGUGAAAACCCCGAGGCUCAACCUCGGGCCUGCAGUGGGUACGGGCAGACUAGAGUGCGGUAGGGGAGAAUGGAAUUCCUGGUGUAGCGGUGGAAUGCGCAGAUAUCAGGAGGAACACCGAUGGCGAAGGCAGUUCUCUGGGCCGUAACUGACGCUGAGGAGCGAAAGCGUGGGGAGCGAACAGGAUUAGAUACCCUGGUAGUCCACGCCGUAAACGUUGGGCGCUAGAUGUGGGGACCUUUCCACGGUUUCCGUGUCGCAGCUACGCAUAGUACGCCCGCCGUCGGGAGGUACGGCCGCGACGACGUAAACGUUAAACGUAAGUAGUAGACGCGNGAGAGCGACGACGACGACGACGGAGGAG